GUGGGUCUGUGUUGUGUUUGUGUUGAGGUGUUGCAGGAUAAACAGCUGUGUCGGACAGGCAAACCACCGCAGUUUCCUGCUGACCCUGUUGGUGUUCGUGCUGACCUCUCUGUAUGGGAUCAGUUUGGUGCUUUGCAGCAUCUGUCCUCGGCAGUAUGUCAUGACGACUCUCUUCUACUUCCCCGGUGUCUACAGCCAGUCCAGUAUCUAUACACUCAGGAGAGGGGAGGGACAUUUGACCCAUUCUCUUUUGAUGUCUGAGCGCUGGACACUCCCUGUCUGGCUGAUAUCGAAGGAUGAUGUGUAGCCCCUCGAUCUGUGCAUAAAAGCCCCCAACGGAUUGGAGCCAUUUGUCAUAUUCUUGAAACCUGUAGUGGCUUUGAGAAUUCUGUCCCUAUUUGGCCAAAUAGUAACAUUGUCACUCUGUUUGUGUUCAAAUAUAUUCUCUGUAAAUUGUUUCUCGACCAUUAAUUAAAUACUUUGAUAUCAUUGAA